GAAAAAUAACCAACGAAAAAAAACCCACACGCACGAGCGACGUCACAUGCCCUCGAGCGAGAACGACUCGCAUGCUAGACUCCCUUCCCUCGUUCGUCGCCGCCUUCAUCCCUUCGCCGCCGCCGCCCUUCAUCCCUUCGCCGCCGCCCUCAGUCUCACAUCAAAGGCGCCCCACUCGCACAACGAACCCGCCGCCCUUCUGGAGCCGAAAGCCGAUCCAUAGAUCCCCAUCUGGACGCGCACGUCCGCCUUCUUGGAUCCAUCGCUGCCAUCGUGGAUCCGCCGCCGCCGUCGCCGCGGAACCCCUCGGACGCCUCCGCCUUCGUGGAUCCAUUGCUGUCGUCGCGGAUCCACCUCUUCCUCCUCCGUUGCUGCCCCUCCGCCCCACCUGCCGGCAUCGACCUCAUCCAGCACGCCUACCUGGUCGGGGCCCCUGACUCGUCGUCCGCCAUCGUCGCCGGGGCAGGGAGUGUCCGCGGCCGCGGCACGGGCCGCGAGGCUUUCCUUCUGCAACCGAUGAGAUGGUCCCUUUGGUGAGGACGUGGAUGGAAGUCCUUCCUCCAGGGAUCGACGUUUUCAGGGCAGAAGGAAGAGCUCUCCUCCUAUCGACGGGCAAGAUGGAUGCACCCAGUAUUUGAUGGAGAACAAUGAUUUCAUGGUGAUUGGGAUAAUCGGUCCACCUGGUCUGGCAAGUCAACCACCGCGAACGAGCAUUAUGGAUACGACACAAGCUCCCCCUUAACUGCAUUCAUAUACUCAUAUGGUUCCAUUGUACUUAAAUUGCGGUUCCCUUUUUACUUAUACUAUGGUUCCUUCUACCUUUUGUCUUGCCAGUAACCAAUAAUUGAUCAAUAUUUUCUGCCGCUCUGGCGUUUUCUUGGUAUCUGUCUAUGAUAUUUUGCUGGUCUUAUCAGAACGGAAUAAUGAUUUUGCCAUGUGGGAGCCCAUGCUUACAGUAAGUUGUCUGGCUAUAAUUUCUAUGUACACACUUCUUUAGGGAAUUAUAAUCAUUUGUUUCUAGUAGUGUAUCUCAUUGUACACACUUCUUCGUGGAUCCAUUGCUGUCGUCGCGGAUCCACCUCUUCCUCCUCCGUUGCUGCCCCUCCGCCCCACCUGCCGGCAUCGACCUCAUCCAGCACGCCUACCUGGUCGGGGCCCCUGACUCGUCGUCCGCCAUCGUCGCCGGGGCAGGGAGUGUCCGCGGCCGCGGCACGGGCCGCGAGGCUUUCCUUCCGCAACCGAUGAGAUGGUAAGAAAAGUUGAUGUGAGCGGUGGAAAUUGAUGUUUCCUUUGGUCUUGCGUUGUUUCCCGCUUGUGUUUUUGUGCUUUUACAGGUCCCUUUGGUGAGGACGUGGAUGGAAGUCCUUCCUCCAGGGAUCGACGUUUUCAGGGCAGAAGGAAGAGCUCUCCUCCUAUCGACGGGCAAGAUGGAUGCACCCAGUAUUUGAUGGAGAACAAUGAUUUCAUGGUGAUUGGGAUAAUCGGUCCACCUGAUCUGGCAAGUCAACCACCGCGAACGAGCAUUAUGGAUACGACACAAACUCCCCCUUAACUGCAUUCAUAUACUCAUAUGGUUCCAUUGUACUUAAAUUGCGGUUCCCUUUUUACUUAUACUAUGGUUCCUUCUACCUUUUGUCUUGCCAGUAACCAAUAAUUGAUCAAUAUUUUCUGUCGCUCUGGCGUUUUCUUGGUAUCUGUCUAUGAUAUUUUGCUGGUCUUAUCAGAACGGAAUAAUGAUUUUGCCAUGUGGGAGCCCAUGCUUACAGUAAGUUGUCUGGCUAUAAUUUCUAUGUACACACUUCUUUAGGGAAUUAUAAUCAUUUGUUUCUGGUAGUGUAUCUCAUUGGACUUGAUGCAUUAUGUUCUAACAUUAUGAGAAUGGAAUUGUUCCAUUAUAUGGUACUAAUGAAAACGUUUGGCAUUAAUCUGUGUUCAUCUAACUAAAAUAUGGUGACUCCACCCUAUGGCUAAAAGUGAUAUUUGCCAAUAUUGUGGAAAGCUAAAAUGAGUGUUGUACUGUAUUUUUACAUGUUACUUUGCUGAAGUGACAUAGCAGACCCAUCAUUUUAAUCUUCAUUAUCUUCACCGAACAAGGGAAAAUAAAAUUGAUAACCUCAUCAGGCAGUGAAGAUUGCAUGGCCAGUCUCUGUUUUGUGCAUGCUAGGUGAGCAUCAUGAACUGUUAUACUUGCCUUACGAGUAUUUUUCCUUCAAUCAGAUUCUCACUUAUAUUUCUGUGAAUAAAUAAAUCUUUUCAUUUUCUUGUUGGGAAAAAAGUCCCUGUAAUCUUUCCCACCACAGCCUAAUGUGGGCUGCAUGCCUUAGCAUGUGCCUGAUCCUUACAGAGUUUGAGGGCAGCUACUAGACUUCAUGAUUUGGCAAAUAUAUAUUUAAGGGUGAAUAAGGACAUUUAAUCAUUUCAUAUACCAUGAACAUCAUAAAAAACAGAUUGAGCAUGUGGAGAUAUUUAAGUGUGCAUAUUUGAUACAUUUUCCUUUUGUUGAUCAUUUGCUUCAUGCUUGUUCUGCGGAUUGGAGUUUGUUCUCAAAGAAGGAGACACUGAUCGCUAGCGAAACAUAUGACCAAGAGUCCCCAGGACCUACAUCAUCGACUAAUAACCAGCCUCAAACACCUGCCCAGCUUCUCCAGCAGUAGUGAGGAUGCCUUGCAGUAUGAUACUUGAUACCAUGCUAACAGAAUUAUGAUUACCGAAGGCUGAAUAACGCCGGGAAAUAUAUGGCGGUAGAAAGGUCUGAGUCAGUCUUUUUAGCACUCCUAUGCUACUUCAUGAUAGUGAAUCUACCCGUGCAUCCAUAUCUGGAGUCCUCUUCAUAUGAUGAUGCAGAAGAGCACAUUGCUGCUAUUGAAGCCAAAGGUGUUUGGAAAACACAGCUAAUACAGAGAUCUGAGACUACAAUUAAAACCAUAGGAAGCACCUCCAGGACUAGAAUGAGCAGCUCAUGCAGCUACUCAACAUAGUGAAUGUGAGCUGCUCAUUCUGGUUCUAGAGGCGCUUCCUACGGUUAAUCUUGGUAGGGCCGACACACUAUAAAUUAAUUAGCCUUGUCUUCAUUGCAGAAUUGAAAUCAUCUUAAAUUCAAAUUUCAUCUUUUAAUUGACUCUUCCAUAUCUCGAUCAGAAGACCUUGAGUGGGGGUGGAGGCUGGAUUGUGAGCCAGAUGCCCCAUCAACAGGGGCGGUAAAGGAGAAGAAGAUAGUUGUUUAACGGUAUGGUUAUGUGUUUAGGGAAUUAUAAUCAUUUCUUUCUGGUAGUGUAUCUCAUUGGACUUGAUGCAUUAUGUUCCAACAUUUUGAGAAUGGAAUUGUUCCAUUAUAUUCUACUAAUGAAAACGUUUGGCAUUAAUCUGUGUUCAUCUAACUAAAAUAUGGUGACUGCAUCCUAUUGCUGAAGUGACAUACUAGACCCAUCAUUUUAAUCUUCAUUAUCUUUUCCGAACAAGGAAAAAUAAAAUUGACAACCUCAUCAGGCAGUGAAGGCAUGGCCAAUCUCUAUUUGUGAAUGCUAGGUGAGUAUCAUGAACUGUUAUACUUGCCUUAGGAGUAUUUUUCCUUGAAUCAGAUGCUCACUUAUAUUUUUGUGAAUAAAUAGAUCUUUUCAUUUUCUUGUUGGAAAAAAAGUCCCUGUAAUCCUUCCCGUCACAGCCUAACGUGGGCUGCAUACCUUAGCAUGUGCCUGAUCCUUACAGAGUUUGAGGGCAGCUACUGGACUUCAUGAUUUGGCAAAUAUAUAUCUAAGGGUGAAUAAGGACAUUUAAUCAUUUCAUAUACCAUGAACAUCAUAAAAAGCAGAUUGAGCAUGUGGAGAUAUGUAAGCGUACAUAGUUGGAUACAUUUUCCUUUUGUUGAUCAUUUGCUUGAUGCUUGUUCUGCGGAUUGGAGUUUGUUCUCAAAGAAAGAGACACUGAUCGCUGGCGAAACAUAUGACCAAGAGUCCCCAGGACCUACAUCAUCGACUAAUAACCAGACUCAAACACCUGCCUAGGUCAACUAUCUUUCUCAAACCAGUACUUUUUGGUUCGAUCAUUCGCCACAUCAUGUGACAUCGCAUGGGGCAUCAGUAGCGACCCACACACUAGCGCAAGGAUGUAAAGAUGGGUACUACCAUUUACAUUCCAGCCAAAAGACCUCACCUCAUUUCUCCAAACUGUGAGUAUUGUUGUCCUGUAAAUUUCUUGGGUGUGCACCAAGCGUUAGAUGAAUUGCCUUCAAGAACCUCAUGGUCAACUGCAUGUGCCCUUUGUGUCUGCAACUGCAUACUUGCUGUCUGAAAUUCAUCACGAGUUAGGCUUUAGGAGAAAAUAUUUCCUUGAGAAUUUUAGAGAUAAAUGACAGAAUUUUGGUGCUACUAAGAAAGGAUAUGUUACUUUUAGAGCUUUGUGUUUGCCUGAUUAUGCGAACUGAUACAUACUACCUAGAAGUUCAACAGUCAAGAUCCAAUGUAAAUGGUAGUAAUUGAGGAUCUCAAAAAUAGGCAUCGCAAAAAUCUGUCAAAAAUGACAACACUUGGCCAAAAGGCUAAAGAAGAAAACCUGUAGAUUCUUUUGGUUUGCCGAUUCCAAGCUGAGUGAAAAAAAUAUAUUUACACGUUACUGAUUCAUGUACUUCUAGAAGUAAUGUUAGUGGAAAAUUUGCACAACCAUCAUGAUUUGGUACUGUUCACGUGCCCCUUGAAUUCGAUGAGUACACUGGUUGGUUAAAAAAUGAUAACAUUGUUUUCUUCAUAGUGGUUAUGUUUCUCUAUAUUUUCUACUUCAUCUUAAUCCUAGAGUUGUAAGAUUGUACAAAAUAUUCUUCGAUCAUUUUGGGCCAUAAACUUCCCAUCCUGCUAUUCUUUCUAUAGGGCAUGCAAUUCUGUUCGGCCGCUGCUACGAAUCAGCUAGAUGAUUUCUUAGGAAAUCAUCCGCCUGUUCAACCGUCAGAUCCGUGUCCUGGGGCCGUUGGAUCACAACAACGCCACGACAGCAGCGCAUCGCGGCAGCUUCACAACGCCAUUGCUACCCCGCGCGGUUCUUGAACGCAGCACCGACGACGUCCUGCGAGCUCCAUUGCAGCCCCGGCGGAGCUCCAACACAGCACCGACGCUCCGGCGAAGCUCCAUUGCAACUCUGGACGAGCUCCACUAUAGCCAUGACGUGUCCGGCGAGACUCCAGUGCAGCACCGUCGGCUCCGGUGAAGCUCCAAUGCAGCGUAUGAGUGACGCUCAUGGCAGCACCGGUGUCGUGAUGAAGCUCCACAGCAGCCGGAGUUGAGGAGAGAUGCCCCAUCGCAACAGCAGCUCCGCCACCCACCGGUGUGGUGUACUGCAGCUCUGCCGCCCUCCGAGAUCUGCGAGGACGCAACAACACACGCGCUGCAUUGGAAGCAUCCGCCACCGCCGAUGAGAUCCAUCGGUUGCAGCACCCCUCCCGGUAGCACCGGCGGCGUUCCAUCUGACGUGCUUGCAACGGCAACCGCAGGGCAACACCGGCCGCGCCAGAGCUCAGGUGCUGCUACAGCGGAGCUUGGUGUUGUGCAGCUCUCCUCUGCUUGCAUCAAUGGCGGAGACACCAUGGAUUGCAGCAGGGGGGGUAGCACGCGUGGAGGGGCACAUAUGGCUAGCAUGGGAGGCGUUGGAGAAGAAGGUGAGAUGGAAGAUGGGGUGGUGGAGAGAAAGAGAGCGUUCAAGGGAUUGGGAUUGGGGGAGGAAGACGAAUAGAGGACGAGCGGGGAGCAAGACGAACAGAGGACGAGCGACUUCGGGAGAUAAGGGAAGGAAGUGGUGCGUGGGGCCGGACACGUGUUGUGCGUCCCGAGCGGUUUAAACAGCCAGAAAAUCAGCCAGUUGAAAAAUAACGUUUUGCAUUCUGUUCUCAUUCAGAACUGACAUGUGGCCAUCUUCUCUCUACCGUUACUCAAGGUGCAUGUGGGAAUGCCCUACAGACUGAUGAACAUGAAUCAUAGGAACCACCAAAGCAUGAAGGGAACAACCAGUAUGGAUUGGGAACAACAAGAUGAACUGGCUUUUGUUGGCACUCUUGCAUACAUUGAAGAUUUUGCGGCAUUUGGUUGCAUCUGAACUGACUUCUGUUUGAGCCAUAGAUUGAUGAGUGAUUUGUUGCAUUCUUCACUUGCACAAACUAUGUCUAUUUGAACCAACUUUGUUGUUCAAUGGUCUGAUUAAAUAUAGCUCUGGAAAGGAAUCAUAGCAGGCUUAGGGUAUCAUGGCCACAAAGAAUUAUUGUUAAUGGGAAGCUAUUUUAACUCUGGUCAGGAGCCGACAUUACUGCAAGUGCUUGCGCAGGCACAAGGUCUAUUUAAAUGGGGAUGCUUCUUUGGUCUAAUAGCAUGAGAGAUGAAAGUUUGAAGUGAAUUCUGUAGUAAUGUGUUUUAAAAUGAUACUUGUAAGUUCAAACGAAUGUCCUAAUUUAUCAAUAUAGUAUAUAAAUCAUUCAUGCUAUAAGUACUCCAUUUUUUAUGUGUAA